UGCUGGAUAGCUCAGUCGGUAGAGCAUGAGACUCUUAAUCUCAGGGGUUGUGAGUUCGAGCCCCACCUUGGGCAA